UGCAUUCAAUUCAAGACCCUAUUAUGGUAUGUUCUUCCAAUUCUUAAAAACGAAAGGUUGCUACUUAGUUUCAUUUCAGCAGUAACAUCAAUUAGCUUUUUACAAAGGAGUAUUUACUGUAAAGAUAUAGCAAGAAGAGCAACACAAAAAUUUGGAUUGCAUGGACUUCAAUUCCCAUUCUUCUCCAGGCUCACUCUCCUGAUUGACCACCUUUAAUCUCUUUCAUUUAAAAGUAGGAAACAGCAGACAUAAGAGAGAGAAGCAACAACAAGAUCACGUGCCAAAAUAAGGCCCCUCCUCAUCGCAGAAGCCUACAGGAGCUAAUGUUCUUUGCUCAAAGUCACUUGAACCAGACCAAGAGACAUGCUUUAACUGGCUAGUGACUUUUAUUGACUCCUCCAUUUCAGCUCUAAAGCUUAGCCAAAAAGGCUUUGUUUCAUCCUUUAGUCAAUUGAACCAAAAACCAAUGAUAGGAUGUCCAUGUUCCAAAGUUCGUAUGGAGAACUGUACCAGUUGAGUUUGCUGAGAUUGCUUAUAAAAUUAGAUUCAUUGGCCAAUCUCUUCCAUAAUACUUAAAGAUAACUAUAUGCCUUCCCUCAGUCACAUCUCUAAGAAGAAAUGUUUACAUGGUCAUCUCCUUCAAUUAUAUAUCCUGAUCCCACAUCCCUCUCCAUUCCAAUUGCCCCCACUCCAAAUGCACUCCAGCUUAAUUUCCUUCCUGAGAUGUCACUGGACAGAAUAUUCUAAAUAUGGCCUGACCAAGUCAGAGGACAGCAGAGCUGUCACCUCCCUUGCUCUGGAUUCUUAUGAUUCUCUUAAUGUAAUUAAAGAUCCUAUUAGCAUUUGCAUUUCAUUUUCCCACUAUAGCUUACAUUAAGCAAACAACUAUCCCCUAAAAUCACCAGAAGGUGAAUAAGUGGACAGGUGCCUCGUUGAAAUGUGUGGGCACCAAUGUUUGCCCACUUGUUAACCUGUUUUCCUUUUCUAUAAAAACUUUGACAUUUGUUCCUUCUCAUGCAUGGCAUCAGUACAAGUUUGGAGUCAAUAGCUAAUUCAUAAUGGACUACAUAAAUCAAUCAAGGAGGUUCCAAUAAUAUGUCCCAGGCAAUUAAAAAAAAGGGUUCCUCCCCUGUAAUAAAAUAGAAAAGCAAACACAAUUGAGCAAGGUCCUUGGAAAUCCAGUUUAGUAGAGGAGAAUCUCAUCAGUCAAUGGAUGGAAAGCAGGCUCAAGCUGGGGGUGGUGUUGAUCCCUAGGAAGGAAAUACUCGAUAAAGAUCCCCAUGGUAAUUGUUAGUGUGCUUCACAGCUCACCCAGAGAGCAAGCAUAGCGUGACUAUUUCUUUGACUCAAGGUACAUUGUGCCAGGAAAGAGGCCAAGUCCUUAGAAUGUGUCUUUUGUUGUCUUUCAGGAAAGUCAUUGCCAAGAUCUGUGGUUUGGCUUACACAAGUGGUAGAAGCCUUUUUUUUUUUCUUUCAUUCUAUCAACAGAGGAGGCUAACUGAUAAUGGUGUAUCAUUAUUUAGCUCCUCCAGGCAGGGAUCUUGGAAAAAUCAAAUGAUUCUCUUUCUAUUCCAGGGCCUUAAAGAUAGAAGAUGUAUACCUAACCCUGUAUCAGCUCCAGCUGAUUAUAAGGAAAACUAGUACCAGACAAUGUUCUGUCCUGGACUUCUUCAGGUUCCUGUUGUAAUGGAGUUGGGGGUCUAAGAAAAAGGAUAUACAGAAGGAGAAGGGAACAGAUACUUACUGGGCACCCACUAUGUUCCAAGCACUAUGACCAACUAUCUAAUCCAUUCCAGGAAGAAGGCUAUUUGCUUGAUGCUUACAGAGGACAUUUCACUGCUAAAUGUGCAAAACACAUUCCAAUCUGCAGCUACUCAGAUUGUUUAGGAAGUACUUCCAUACUUCUCACCAGGACAUUACCAUUAUUACCAUAUUACAACCAUCAGUAUAACGGACAGCCCAGCCAUAUGUGGCACAUAGAGAACAGAAAACUUUUCCAUUCUCCUCAUGUGUGGAAACAGGAGGCCUAGGUGAGAUUUGGGUUCAAGGCUGGCCUCUGACAAAUAACAGCUACAUAGCCAACUCACUGCCAACUUAUAAGAAUGUAAAUUGAAAAAAGAAGUUACUUCUCUUCAUCAAGAGGGAAAAUUUCCUUACUAGGAGUCUUCUACAAUAGCAAGGCCUCUUAUAAAUGCAGAUUCUUUUUUAAUGUGUAAGACAAUGAGUGGGCUAAGAACUUUGAGGAAAACAAAAGAUUAAUAUGAAGAAACUAGCUAAUCCACAAACUACAAUACAAGAAUUUCUGAUAAGGACAAGAUGAAGCUGCCUAAUGGAAAUUCUUCAAGGCUCUGCAUUUGAAAUCUUGUGAAUCUAAGCAGAAGAAUCCUGUACUCAUAUCUAGAAUACAUAUGAAAACUCAAGUUUUUGUAUAACUCUGACUAAAUGACCACAAUGACAAUAACUACAAUCAGCAAUCUGUCACUCCUGUUGCAGGUGGAAAGCAACUGAGAAUAAGAAGGGUGGAAAAUUAUGAUUAAAUUGGCCCAAGAGGCCAACAGGUUCCAGUACUUCUCAGAAUAUCACAAAGGCAAGCUGCUUUAGGAGCUGUUAGAUGAUGCUAGUGUGAAUCAUGACCUCUGGUCUAAUGUGACUUGGAGAGACACCAACCAAAGACGGUUACUUGUCUAUCCACUUCUAGUGCCUACCUCCCAAAGUUAUUGAGAGGAUUAAAUGAGAUAAUAAUUUUAAAACAUAUAAAUGAGAUAAGAAUUAUAAAGCACAGUUCCAAACACAUUGUAGAUGCUUGAUGAAUGCUUGUUCCCCCAUAUUUUUCUUCCCCCAUUCUCAUAACUCAGGAAAUCAUAGGUUUUCACAGAAACCUGCAAUACCUGGGUUAGGAUGUAUACAGGUAAAAAUGUUGGUACAGCAGGUGUUUAUACAAACCACUGAUGGCAUGAGGUAGCCUGCUGGCUUCAGAUCAGAGAAAGUACUGAAUCUGGGUUUUUUUACACACACACACUCCCAUUUCCCUCCUCUCUAAUCUCCUCCUGUUCUAUCCCAAGAGACUCUUUGCAUCCUGGACCAAAUAGUUCUUCAGAAAGUUGGAUAGAGAGUGAGAAGGAGGAGGAGGAAGAGGAGAAGAGAAAGAAAUAGCUAUUUAUAUAGUUUGGGCUUUACAUACCUUCAGCUCCUUUCCCACUCAAGAGAGCCUCCUGGGGACUGGUAAUCCCGAAAUGGGCGGUAUGGUCAUGAAUGUGAAUAAUUCCAUCGCUCAUCAUGCUUUCCCCUAUCAUCUCUUCCCUUCAAUUAUAUGGAUGAUAAAGGAAAGAAAGUAGACACUUUUUAUAAGAUGCAGUGUACAAUGAUGGAAAGUGUUCUGGACUGAGAAGCUGGAAAGAUUUUUGUAUGAAGCAAGUCUCUGAUGCUUGCUAGUUUUGUGACUAUAGGCAAGUCAUUACAUCUCAAUGAGAAUAAUUAUACUUGUGGCACCUACUUGACAGGGUUAUUGUGAAGAUCAAGGAAGAUAAUGUAUAUAAAGAAACAGAUC